CUUUGCUGGUGGUUUGUCCGUUUGCCACGAUUCAGUUCCCAAUUGGUUUUUAUUUUUUUAUUGCACCGAGGCCUCUAGCGAACCAUCCACACUGCUUUCAUGGGAGAAUAAAUACCCCCAUCUCUCGCAAAAGCAGCAGCAUGACGAGCAUACGGCGGCGGCGCGCGGCACGGUGUCCUCUUACUCUCUUGCUCUUCCUCCUCCCUCUUCCCUUCCCCUUUCCAUCUUACUUCUCCUCCAUGGUUGAUGUUGCGCCGCUGUUGUGCAUAUCGGAGGGAGCAACAGCGAGGGUAGUGGCGUUUCAUGAGGGGCAGCAGCGUGGUUGCCAUCCGCCGCCUUGACCUGCAGGGGCUUCUCCCAAGUUCCGGUCUUCGUAUUAGCUCCAUAUCCUAAUGAAGCACGCCGGCAGCGGCAGCAAAUUCUCUGGGGAAGCGUCCUCUUGAUCCAUCUUCUUGUGUGUGUAUCUAUCUAUGUUUGGUUCAUCAGAUUUUCAGUUAUUGGGCUUGGCUUUCUUUUUUUUCUCAGUUUUGUUUGAUUUCUUUUUCUUUUCCAUUAGAUUUUUUGGGCUGCGCUAUUGAUAGGCAUGUUCAGCCCAAGGUUAGUGAAUUUGUUCAUAAUGAUCUUUCUCCUGUGGAUUUGUUCCAGCGACACCAACGACAACGACGGCAUCUCCGCUUUCGUGCGUUGUUGAGAGAGCGACUGCAGAUCGUGCUAGACCGUGCGUUGGUGGAAACCACAGGCUUGGUGUCUGCCAUCCUGCCCACCCUCUGCCAUGACACGCAGCCGAACACCUGAAGAACCAGGUCAGGGACAUCAGCAAGGACCCAUCAUCCGCUAAAAACUACUAAGAGUUGCAGAAGGCCAAAUUCAGUAAAUUAGAGUUGCAGAAGGAAAAUUUCAGCACAUAAAUUGUGAGAAGGUAUUGCUAUUCUUUAGAUUACUCACCUAGCAAAGAGGAAGAGACAUGCUUCGGUGGAUCGAUUUGUAUAGAUUGGCUCGUGAUGAUAUGCCUGUUAGGACCAGCAGCGAUGGUUUGAUUCAGAUUUAAAUUUCACUACCACUACAUCACAGGGAUAAACCCAGCUCAAGGAUCUUCUCACCUCUAAUAAGAAGAGAACAAGAGCUUCAUAUUCUGCAUCCAAUACCCACUAUCACUACAUGUUGUAGAUCACUUAUGUAUGUAUCAACUAGAUGUACCCUUUAC